GGAGUUAGCCGGUGCUUCUUCUGUGAGUGAUGUCCUUCCUGCCGGCUAUUAACCCGCAGGCCUUCUUCCUCACUGAAAGUGCUUUACAACCCGAAGGCCUUCUUCACACACGCGGCAUGGCUGUAUCAGGGUUGCCCCCAUUGUCCAAUAUUCCCCACUGCUGCCUCCCGUAGGAGUCUGGGCCGUGUCUCAGUCCCAGUGUGGCUGAUCAUCCUCUCAGACCAGCUACGGAUCGUCGCCUUGGUGAGCCGUUACCUCACCAACCAGCUAAUCCGACAUAGGCUCAUCCGAUAGCGCGAGGCCCUAAGGUCCCCCGCUUUCCCCCGUAGGGCGUAUGCGGUAUUAGCCUGGGUUUCCCCAGGUUAUCCCCCACUACCGGGCAGAUUCCUAUGCAUUACUCACCCGUCCGCCGCUCGCCACCAGGGAGCAAGCUCCCCGUGCUGCCGCUCGACUUGCAUGUGUUAGGCCUGCCGCCAGCGUUCAAUCUGAGCCAGGAUCAAACUCUGA
rnacentral:rRNA from 1 species